rnacentral:rRNA from 1 species
CCUACGGGCGGCAGCAGUCGAGAAUCAUUCACAAUGGGGGAAACCCUGAUGGUGCGACGCCGCGUGGGGGAAUGAAGGUCUUCGGAUUGUAAACCCCUGUCAUGUGGGAGCAAAUUAAAAAGAUAGUACCACAAGAGGAAGAGACGGCUAACUCUGUGCCAGCAGCCGCGGUAAUACAGAGGUCUCAAGCGUUGUUCGGAAUCACUGGGCGUAAAGCGUGCGUAGGCUGUUUCGUAAGUCGUGUGUGAAAGGCCCGGGCUCAACCCGCGGACGGCACAUGAUACUGCGAGACUAGAGUAAUGGAGGGGGAACCGGAAUUCUCGGUGUAGCAGUGAAAUGCGUAGAUAUCGAGAGGAACACUCGUGGCGAAGGCGGGUUCCUGGACAUUAACUGACGCUGAGGCACGAAGGCUAGGGGAGCGAAAGGGAUUAGAUACCCGAGUAGUC